GACAGGAAGAGAGUGAAACAGUAGAGAGAGAAAGAGAAAAAGAAAGAGAGUUAGUAAGACAAAAUUUCCAACCUAAUACUGGCCGUGAGUAGCAGACUGACAUUUAAAGAAGAGAGAGAAAAAGUCAGACAGGCUGGUGUGAUAUGUGAUAUUUUUCAGCUGUUUCCCUCCAAAUGAACUCAGAGGACAGGCUCCGGAGAACUGAGGGCAGACUGGGACUGGAUCUGAAUAGGAAAACCACACAGAGCAACACCUGGACUUAGUUACAAUCACGUAGAGCAACACCUGGACUAAGCCUUUUAUAAUAACACAGAGCAACACCUGGACUAACUCAGUUAAAGCUGCACUGAGCAAAACCUGGACUAACUCAGUUAAAGCUGCACUGAGCAACACCUGGACUAACUCAGUUAAAGCUGCACUGA